AGGUGGAUAGCUCAGUAGUUUAGAGCAGUUCGGAAAAGCGAAAGACUCGGGUGCAAUUCCCGAUUCAGCCA
rnacentral:tRNA from 1 species